GCCCAUGGGUGAUACUCCACAUGUUGUAAAAGAAACAUCAUUCGAAAAUGAUUGUCAAAGCACAAGCCAUGUAAAAUUGGGGAAAAAACAUGGUCUCAUUAAAUUCAGCAAUGUGGGUCCCACUGCGUAUUACCUCCUGGGGGAGUUAGCAUCGUUAGAACAGGCCGUGCAGUCUUAUGUCACACAGAAUCUCCAUGACAGGGGUUUUGUUCAGCUCUCCUGUCCAGAGAUGUUCAGAACGGCCG